GCCAGUUGUAGAGGUGUUAGCAGGUAAUUGUAUACCACCAUUAAAGGAAAUGCAACUCGAGGUCAAUAAGAUAUACUAAAUGCUAGGGAAGCGAUUAAUCAAAUGACAAUUCUCUUUAAGUACAAGAAGGUCCUCUGAGAUCUUUGUAAGAAAUUUACUAACUUGAAUGCUACAGGAUCACCAUCUCUCUAACUUCAUAGCAUGCAAAAUAAGCAAAGACAUUUUCAAUCUCUUUAUUUCAUAGUUCUGCUUCUGUCUUUUUAUCCACUGGAUUACCAUAACAACAUAAUCACUCCCCAAAAGAGAAGGUGGCACAAUCAACAAAAGCGUAGCAAGUCAUUUAAAGAGAGCUUGAGAGCAAAAAUAGUCCAAGCUAUAUCCGUAAUAUGAUAUGCAUAUUUCGAAAGAGACUGUCAAACUUGAAUGCUACAGGAUCACCAUCUCUCUAACUUCAUAGCAUGCAAAAUAAGCAAAGACAUUUUCAAUCUCUGUAUUUCAUAGUUCUGCUUCUGUCUUUUUAUCCACUGGAUUACCAUAACAACAUAAUCACUCCCCAAAAGAGAAGGUGGCACAAUCAACAAAAGCGUAGCAAGUCAUUUAAAGAGAGCUUGAGAGCAAAAAUAGUCCAAGCUAUAUCCGUAAUAUGAUAUGCAUAUUUCGAAAGAGACUGUCAAACCGAAACACAAGGAAGCUUACCCUGACUGUUUCUUC
rnacentral:lncRNA from 1 species